rnacentral:rRNA from 1 species
UAUUGGACAAUGGGGCAUCCCUGAUCCAUCCAUGCCUCGUGUGUGAAUAAGGUCUUCGGAUUGUAAAGCACUUUACGUUGGGAGGUUGUGAUUUAGUUUAAUACUUUGAAGUUUUGACGUUACCAGCAGAAUAAGCACCGGCUAACUCUGUGCCAGCAGCAGCGGUAGUACACAGGGUGCAAGCGUUAAUCGGAAUUACUGGUCUUAAAGCGCGCGUAGGUCGUACAGUAAGAUGGGUGGGAAAUCCCCGGGCUUUACCUGGGAACUGCUUUCAUAACUGCUGAGCUAGAGUACGGUAGAGAGUAGUGGUAUUUCCUGUGUAGCGGUGAAAUGAGUAGAUAUAGGAAGGAACACCAGUGGAGAAGGCGACUACCUGGACUGAUACUGACACUGAAGUGCGAAAGCGUGGGGAGCAAAC